rnacentral:lncRNA from 1 species
CUGCUCUGAUCGGUUGGGGAGUUUGAAUGAAAUUGAAACUCCAAACUUGGCCAAAAAUCAAGGAGAAAAUUAGAGAAUUGAAAUUUAAAAAGAAUUCCUAUGCCGAAAUGCACUCAUUCGGCCAUAGCAAAAGAGUGCCAAAUAUUUUAGGCCUUUAGGAUUUAUUUUUUUUUUCCUUCUUCUAUUUUUUAUUCUUUUCUAUCCUUCUCUCAUCUCUUCCCCUCUUCUCUUUUCUUUCUCCUCUUAAUUCUCAUCCUAUCUUUUUGCCGAACCUAAAUCCUUCAUAUUCUUCUUCUUUUCUCUCUUAAAUCCUCAACAAACUGGUUAGCCGAAUUUCCAUUGAAGCCAAACCUCGUAUCUUUUCUUUCAAAAUCGAAAUCUUACUACUUUGAGGUACUACAAAGGCCGAACCCUUGGUUGAGUAUUUUUCCCUUCUUGUGCGGUAGUUGGAUCUACAAUCGAUUGGGAGUAGUGUCAUAACAAUAUAGGUAAAUGCUCGAAUCUUUCUUUCGUUAUUCAUGAAUUAAGGUAAAAGCCGAAAAACCCCUAUAUGCAAAGGGUGCCUGUUGAUUGUACUCAAAAGGUUUAGUGGUGAUAUCUGAUUUGUUUUCCUAUAGUGUGGAUUAAAGGCUACUAAUCGAAGGCUUGGAUAUUUGGAACGACCAGAAAUAGAUCUAGUCCAUUUUUUUCGGCAAAGGUAAGAACACUAGUGCCUAAAGUGUUAAUGGUCGAUUUUUAGUAAGGAGUUUUGCAGAUAAGUUGCUAUGGAUUCAUAGUUAACGUAUCAGUAAUUGAUUUUAGGCAGUUCGUGUGUGGAACUCGUCAGCGUUUCGUCACAAACAGGUGUGUAAACGACACUCACUCAUAGACUAGAUCGGUAAAAGCCGAAAAGCCGACAAGCCGGCAUUUAUGAACUUGCGAGCGUGCGAGCGCUUGUGAGGUGGUUUGGUUGUUAAUUUUGAUAAUCGCAAGCAGUAUGAUUGCAGAGUGCGUAAUUUCGUGCACUUCGGUAUAUUUGGGCUUAAUGGGCCAAAAAUAGGUUAGUGGGCCAACGGGCCCGAUUCGGUAACAAUGCUCGGUAAGUGCUUCUGUUAAUGUGUUAAUGGUUAGAAUAUGUAUGUAAACUCUAGAAUAGUAAAUUUUAUUAAACUACCCCUAAGUAUGAAAAUUACCGUUUUACCUCUAGGUGCUAAAUUACCGUUAUACCCCUAGGGUUAAUUUUGACUGAAAUACAUGAUAUUCUGAUUCUGUUUGUUAUACGCCAUGACAUGUAUAUCUGUUGCAUGGGGUUGGGUUUUGUUAUGCAGGAAGAACCCGUUCUGGUGGUUGUGCCACAUAUUCAGAUAUAAGCAGCUUUGCUGCGAAUUAUAGUUAGUGCCGCAAUCGGUGCUAACACUGUAACUGUAGGGAUGGCGUGGGUGAUUUAUUCCCCACAGGAUGUGUGGGGAUGGACGGAGGCAAGUGUAGGGUUGGAUGGGGUUAUCAUGCAUUAAUCAUAUGAGGCUAUUUUGUUAUGGGCCAACUGUAUUUUAAUGGGUCCAACUAUGCUGAUAUGGGCUAGGCCCAGUAUACUCUGUUAUUGUAAGGGGCUAUGGCCCAGAUUAAUACUGAUAUGGGCUAAGGCCCAGUUAACACUAAAUUUUGAAUAGGGCUUAGGCCCAGUAAAGCUUGAACUGAUUUGGGCUCUGGUUGGGAUACUUUACACACUGAAUUUUCCAAACUCACCCCCCUUUUUCCCAUCUUUGUAGGUGAGCCUUAGAUCGAUGGACUUGGAGCUGGGCGGGAUUCAGAGUGGCCACGAAGAUUAAGUUUUGUUUUCUUUAAAAUAAGUUUUGCAUUUAUUAUUUUGAUUAUUUUUAUUCUGGUUAAAGUUGUAAUAAGGCCGCUCUUUUUAUUAUUUUUAAUAUUUUGGGUUAUUAAAUUGGUUAGCUUUAGGGCGCGUUUUAUAAAAGUUACUUAUUUUUAAAAUAUCACGAUAACCGAGCAAAGCUUCCGCAAUGUAAAUGUUUUCAAAGGAAAUAAAUAUUUUAAUUAGACUUAAACUUAAUUUGUUGUUCGUGGACAAGUAAUAAGCUUAAAGUGUGGCAAUGGAUGUAUGCAGGUCUAGGAUUGGAUCAUGGAAGAGCUAGGUACUUAAGCAGUCUAAUUGACUCACCUCCUCUUUUCUUGAAUCCUACCUGGUGCGUAGUAUCCAUUCACUUUAAGCCAUGACAAAUAAGGUUUGAUUUUUUUCGAUACUUAACUGUUUUUUUAAAUAACAUGUUUCUGCCACCACAAAGGUUUACAAGUUUUCAAAGUUUCCCAUAAGAUUUUACAAGGUUGUUAACAAUGCUUUGAUUAUUACAAUGCAUCACAUUUUGGAAAAAAAAAAUAAGGCUAAGGUUUUAGUCAAGUUUAAACGGUAAAAGUUUCUAAACAUCAAGAAGGGUUUUCAAUGAAAACAUGGGUUUCGAAAAACACUUCAAUGUGACACGCCGAAUUCGGUUGUAACGUCUGAGCCGGGUUUGGGGUGUUACAUUUAGUGGUAUCAGAGCCCGGUUGCAACAACUCGGCUGUGGAUUGGGUCCAAAAAGGGUUUUCAAAACUUUAUGCCAAAAAGGGUAUUUUUGGAAAAACCUGACUUUUGAAAACAAAUUUUUGUUUAAAGGAGAUAAUCUCCGAACUUGUUUUUUUAAAUGAUUGAAAAAUGGAUUUCAAAAAUUUUAAAUCUUUUGAGUUCAUCUUAAAACUGAGGAGGUGGCAUACUGAAUCCCCGGCACCAAGUCUAUAAGUACUUCUUUUUCCUAUACUGUAAUGUACUGAAAUAAUAUUGUAGUUAGAAUCGAGCCUUUUGAUAUGAAACUGUAGAUAGGGUAGAACUAAAAACUCUAAAAGAUUGAAACCGUGGCUAGUAUAUGAUUCUAUAAAAACAAAAACUUUAAAAAUACUCUCUCUGCAUAAGACAUAUGAAUAAAUAGUAAAACUUUUUGAGAUCUUUGUAGUUAUUUGAUAUGUGUACUGGUAAUGUAGAGUAUUGAUAUGGAUUCUGAGGGUAAGCAAAGUCUGCCAACUUUGGGUAGCGGUAACUCGGAGCUUGGUACUGAGGCACUGGCCGAGAUAGUAAGGAAAGUGGUAGAGAAAGUAUUGGAUACCAAAAUUAAGGAAAUUAGGGAAACGCUUCAAAUAAGGUGCUUGGAGUGUAAAAAGAGGAAGGAUCCUAGUUCUCAAAGAACAGAGCCUCGUUCUGUGAAACAUGUUAAGGCACGACCAAACUUUCCAACCUGCAAAGACUGCAACGGGCGUCAUCCGGGUGAAUGCCAUAGGAAGACAGGAGCAUGUCUUAGAUGUGAGUCCAAUGAGCAUCGAGCUCGAGAUUGCCAAGUUUAUUCUAUUUGAGUGUGUGCUACGAAUUGUAUGCGUAAACGUUUCCUUAUUUCGGUAAUUAGAUGUUCUGGGUCGUAUUAAAAUUAUUUAUAUCAGAGUGCGUAGCGGUAGCAUAUUAGCAUUGUGGUUUGACUUGAGUAAUACAGUUAGUUGAUAGUUGGAAAUUUCGAGGACGAAUUUUUUUUUCAGGGGAUAGAGUUGUAACGCCCCAAAAAUUGGGCCUAGAAGAGUUGGGCUUUGAGUCUGGGAUUCGGAUAGAAGAAAACCUGAAUAUUGAGAAGUUUUAAAUAUUACUAGUGUUUAAAAAAAAUAUAUAUUGAUAAAAUAUUUAUGUUAUUACUAAUAUUUUAAUUUUUAUGAAAAUUAUUAUCAUUAUAAUUAUUAGAUACAAAUAUGUUUAUAAAAUUAUUGUUGUUAAUUUAGUGUUUAAAUUAAAUUAUUAUUAGAAAAUUUUAUCGUAUCUAUUUUUAUUGAUUUAUGGAAAUUAUAAUUAUUAUUAGGAAAAAUAUAUAUAUAUUAUCGUAUUUGAAAUUUUCAUUAUUAUGGUUAUUAUUAUUAUUAUUUUAGUUUUUAAAUAAAUUUAGAAGUAUUUAAAGUAUGAGAAAAAUUCGAUCCAAGACUCUAGCAAAAAUAAUUAUUUUUGCUCCUUUAGGGGAUCUGGGCAUUAAGGUUUAUUAAAAAGUUGGGCUAAAAUGGGACAUAAGGAGGAGUCAGGCCUAGUGGUUAACCGUGUUAAGCAGUAGGAAAGGAGCAGGGGUUCGAUUCCCUGGGUGUGCAACUGUUGGUUUUUAUUUUAGAAAAACCAAGGGCUGUCGCAGGUAAGCCUUAUUAACUAUUCAGGCUAAUUCAUGUCAGAAGCAAGUAUCUGGCCCAGUGGCAAAGCACGUUAGGAGGGCGUGGGAAGUGCCUGGGUUCAAGGCACGGCGCACGCAAAUUGGGUUUUUUUUUUAGUAUACAGGUUGCGGUUGGAAUAGGCUUUAAAUGAAGUUACGAAUGAAGUUUGACACAAUGAGAGCCUGUGGCGCAGUGACAAGAAACGUAUGUGUGUGUUAAAGAGGUCGCAGGUUCGAAAUGUACAGCAAGCAAAAAUUUCCUUUUUUAUUUCGCAAGUAACCAGAGCUUCAGCAGGUAAGGUUUAUAAUUAAUUGUAACCACAUAUUACUAAAGGAGAAGCGUGGUGCAGUGGCCAGCAGCUCAUGUGUGGGCGCAUGGGCAGACGAGGUCUGGAGUUCGAGCCUCCUCUCGAGCAGGAGCGGCUGGGUUUUCGCUGCACGCAUGGGGAAGGAGUUGGAGUCUGACCAGGACUCCUAGCAGCGUGCUGAAGCGGUGCAAGCAGGUGGAUAAGGCCUGCUCUGAUGAUCGGUUUUGCCAAAAAUCAAGGAGGAAAUUAGAGAAUUGAAAUUUAAAAAGAAUUCCUAUGCCGAAAUGCACUCAUUCGGCCAUAGCUAAAGAGUGCCGAAUAUUUUAGGCCUUUAGGAUUUAUUUUUUUUCCUUCUUCUAUUUUUUAUUCUUCUCUAUCCUUCUCUCAUCUCUUCCCCUCUUCUCUUUUCUUUCUCCUCUUAAUUCUCAUCCUAUCUUUUUGCCGAACCUAAAUCCUUCAUAUUCUUCUUCUUUUCUCUCUUAAAUCCUCAACAAACUGGUUAAGCCGAAUUUCCAUUGAAGCCAAACCUCGUAUCUUUUCUUUCAAAACCGAAAUCUUACUACUUUGAGGUACUACAAAGGCCGAACCCUUGGUUGAGUAUUUUUCCCUUCUUGUGCGGUAGUUGGAUCUACAAUCGAUUGGGAGUAGUGUCAUAACAAUAUAGGUAAAUGCUCGAAUCUUUAUUUCGUUAUUCAUGAAUUAAGGUAAAAGCCGAAAAACCCCUAUAUGCAAAGGGUGCCUGUUGAUUGUACUCAAAAGGUUUAGUGGUGAUAUCUGAUUUGUUUUCCUAUAGUGUGGAUUAAAGGCUACUAAUCGAAGGCUUGGAUAUUUGGAACGACCAGAAAUAGAUCUAGUCCAUUUUUUUCGGCAAAGGUAAGAACACUAGUGUCUAAAGUGUUAAUGGUCGAUUUUUAGUAAGGAGUUUUGCAGAUAAGUUGCUAUGGAUUCAUAGUUAACGUAUCAGUAAUUGAUUGUAGGCAGUUCGUGUGUGGAACUCGUCAGCGUUUCGUCACAAACAGGUGUGUAAACGGCACCCACUCAUAGACUAGAUCGGUAAAAGCUGAAAAGCCAACAUUUAUGAACUUGCGAGCGUGCGAGCGCUUGUGAGGUGGUUUGGUUGUUAAUUUUGAUAAUCGCAAGUAGUAUGAUUGCAGAGUGCGUAAUUUCGUGCACUUCGGUAUAUUUGGGUUUAAUGGGCCGAAAAUAGGUUAGUGGGCCAACGGACCCGAUUCGGUAAAAACGCUCGGUAAGUGCUUCUGUUAAUGUGUUAAUGGUUAGAAUAUGUAUGUAAACUCUAGAAUAGUAAAUUUUAUUAAACUACCCCUAAGUAUGAAAAUUACCGUUUUACCUCUAGGUGCUAAAUGACCGUUAUACCCUUAGGGUUAAUUUUGACAUAAAUAUAUGAUAUUCUGAUUCUGUUUGUUAUAUGUCAUGACAUGUAUAUCUGUUGCAUGGGGUUUGGUUUUGUUAUGGAGGAAGAACCCGUUCUGGUGGCUGUGCCACAUAUUCUGAUAUAAGCAGCUUUGCUGUGGAUUAUAGUUAGUGUCGCAAUCGGUGCUAACACUAUAAGUGUAGGGAUGGCGUGGGUGAUUUAUUUCCCACAGGAAGUGUAGGGAUGGACGGAGGCAAGUGUAGGGUUGGAUGGGGUUAUCAUGCAUUAAUCAUAUGAGGCUAUUUUGUUAUGGGCCAACUGUAUUGAAAUGGGUCCAACUAUGCUGAUAUGGGCUAGGCCCAGUAUACUCUGUUACUGUAAGGGGCUAUGGCCCAGAUUAAUACUGAUAUCGGCUAAGGCCCAGUUAACACUAAAUUCUGAAUAGGGCUUAGGCCCUGUAAAGCUUGAACUGAUUUGGGCUCUGGUUGGGAUACUUUACACACUGAGUUUUCCAAACUCACCCCCCUUUUUCCCAUCUUUGUAGGUGAGCCUUAGAUCGAUGGACUUGGAGCUGGGCGGGAUUCAGAGUGGCCACGAAGACUAAGUUUUGUUUUCUUUAAAAUAAGUUUUGCAUUUAUUAUUUUGAUUAUUUUUAUUUUGGUUAAAGUUGUAAUAAGGCCGCUCUUUUUUUAUUUUUAAUAUUUUGGGUUAUUAAAUUGGUUAGCUCUGGG